rnacentral:rRNA from 1 species
GUGUCAGCAGCCGCGGUAAUACGUAGGGUGCAAGCGUUAAUCGGAAUUACUGGGCGUAAAGCGUGCGCAGGCGGUUCCAUAAGACAGAUGUGAAAUCCCCGGGCUCAACCUGGGAACUGCAUUUGUGACUGUGGAGCUAGAGUACGGUAGAGGGGGAUGGAAUUCCGCGUGUAGCAGUGAAAUGCGUAGAUAUGCGGAGGAACACCAAUGGCGAAGGCAAUCCCCUGGACCUGUACUGACGCUCAUGCACGAAAGCGUGGGGAGCAAACAGGAUUAGAAACCCCCGUAGUCC